rnacentral:rRNA from 1 species
UACGUAGGUGGCAAGCGUUGUCCGGAAUUACUGGGCGUAAAGCGUGCGCAGGCGGUUUGCUAAGACAGGUGUGAAAUCCCCGGGCUUAACCUGGGAACUGCGCUUGUUACUGGCAGGCUUGAGUGUGGCAGAGGGGGGUGGAAUUCCACGUGUAGCAGUGAAAUGCGUAGAGAUGUGGAGGAACACCGAUGGCGAAGGCAGCCCCCUGGGCUAACACUGACGCUCAUGCACGAAAGCGUGGGGAGCAAACAGG